rnacentral:lncRNA from 1 species
AGUAAUCCUGAGUCUUAAUGUGCUCUCUCCUCCAUAGAGGUGGAUAUACACAGAUUCAUGCCCCUGGGAAGCAGACUUGGGGAUGUCUACUCAAACCAACCACACAACACAUGGCCUGCAUGUGCUGAGGACCAUGGAAGCGCCAAUGUCUACAUCCUUUAGCUCCCAAGAGGACAUCAACCAGAUCUUCCCAGUUCUGGUUACAGGAACAAGAAGAGUGAAAUAUCAACUGAAGGCAAAACCAGAGAAUAGCAUCAAAAGCACCAAUAUCUGAAUCUAAACUGUCACUGAUAAAUCACUAAAACUGAGUGAUUAUGAGUUUAACGUGCUUGAGAUGACACAGGACUGGAAAAUUGCAGGUACCCUUCUCACAAGACCCCUGGAAGGUCUAAAGUCAUCACUUGUUUCUUGUUUUUGACUUGCUUUUCUUUUCAUCUCUCCCCUAGUUUUUUACCUAUACAAAUUCAAGUUCCCAUUCUCACUUUGAACUGGUUUUGGGAAGAUUCUCCCAGUUCCUUGCUUGAGCAUUUGCAAUAAAUCAUCUUCUCAC